rnacentral:rRNA from 1 species
AUCCUGGCUCAGGAUGAACGCUGGCGGCGUGCCUAACACAUGCAAGUCGAGCGAUAAGCUACAUUUGAUGAAACUUCGGUAGAUUCUGGUGCCGAAAGCGGCGGACGGGUGAGUAACGCGUAGGCAACCUGCCCUUAGCAGGGGAUAGCCAUUGGAAACGAUGAUUAAAACCCCAUAAUACGAGAGCGUCACAUGUCAUUCUCGUCAAAGAUUUAUCGGCUAAGGAUGGGCCUGCGUCUGAUUAGGUAGUUGGUGAGGUAACGGCCCACCAAGCCUACGAUCAGUAGCCGACCUGAGAGGGUGAUCGGCCACAUUGGAACUGAGACACGGUCCAAACUCCUACGGGAGGCAGCAGUGGGGAAUAUUGCACAAUGGGCGCAAGCCUGAUGCAGCAACGCCGCGUGAAGGAUGAAGGUCUUCGGAUCGUAAACUUCUGUCCUUGGGGAAGAAGUCCUGACGGUACCCAUGGAGGAAGCCCGGCUAACUACGUGCC